rfam:Trichobilharzia regenti genome assembly, scaffold: TRE_scaffold0008849
GGCUGGCUGACGAGUCCUAAAUAGGACGAAAUGCGCAUCUUGUUAGGC